UACAGAGGGUGCGAGCGUUAAUCGGAAUUACUGGGCGUAAAGCGUGCGUAGACGGUUAUUUAAGUCGGAUGUGAAAGCCCCGGGCUCAACCUGGGAAUUGCAUUCGAGACUGAAUAGCUAGGGUACGGUAGAGGGAAGUGGAAUUUCCGGUGUAGCGGUGAAAUGCGUAGAUAUCGGAAGGAACAUCAGUGGCGAGAGCGACUUCCUGGACCAGUACCGACGUUCAGGCACGAAAGCGUGGGGAGCAAACAGG
rnacentral:rRNA from 1 species